rnacentral:lncRNA from 1 species
CUGGGUCUCGUUUGAUGGCAGAAAGAGGCAGGAAAUCCAGCAUGGGGACAGCAUUAAGAUCACAACCUCUUGCUUUCCGGUCCCUUCCAUCUGUUGUCAUGAUCUGGUGUACGACUGGUUUGACAGUCUGGCUCAGUGUCUCCACUGGAACGUCCGCAAGAAGCAAACACGUCUAACGGAUGCCAGCGACUCUUCAGAAACGGAGAACUGAAACAUCACCACAAAACUCUCUGUUGACUUUACAUUCCAUCCUGACUCACUGAAAAGGGGGUUAGAGUUCAAAAUUCUUAUUUUUACAUUGCACAUUUCUAUGUUCAUAGAUUUACAGAUUUCAUUAUAAAUCGCAAUAAGUGCUCGUGUGCUACCUGAGAAAUAACACAUUUAUUGUUAGAGGUUAACCUGGAUUACUUGCAAUUUAACGGCAACAAAACGUUUGCUUAACAUAAAAUGUCAUAGUGCGACUGCUAAACAUCGUUAUGCAGACAGUAUUUCUUAGAGAAUUGUUUUUGCAGCUGACCGCUUCACAACAUGCUAAAUAACUGAUCUGACUUAUAGUAUAUUUUGUAUGUUUUUUUUUAUUACAAUACCAUUUAUUAAGAAUUAUUUAAAAAUCCACUAACAUUUAAAUUUGUACUGUAGGUUAUGUAGAUUCAUCCACUUCUAAAUGGUUUAGGUAACAGAAAUUACAAAUCAUCCACCACAUAUUUGAACUUGAAAUGCACAUUAUAGCAGGAAAAGUCAUUUACUGAGCAUAAAAUGUUCAUUUUGAGGUUUUUGUGUGUGUUUAACUCUGUAGCUGUUAGCUAAAUUGACCACAAACUAUCCUCACCUACAAACAGACAAAGUUUGGUUUUCUGUGUGGUUCCUUAUUUGUAAUGAACUGUACGAGAAGCCAUGCUUUGUCAGUUUAACGUGUUGGCAAUCAGUUUUGUGUGCUCUACUAGACACCAUUGUACAUUCAACUAGUAAGAUUGAAUGCGGUUUAUCAGUCUUUUUCCUGUAGCUCAAGCUUUUGUUUGAUUUUCAUUCUAAUUGAUUAACCUGUGCAGAGCCUUUCUGAAUAUGAAUCAAAUAACUAAUGUUUUGUCAGGUUAGGAGGCUGUCAAACCGAAGUAGUUCGUCAAAGAAUAUUGUAGCCUCCUUGUGGCGGGACAGGAUGUUGCAUU